rnacentral:rRNA from 1 species
GUUGAACGCUGGCGGCGGGCCUAACACAUGCAAGUCGAGCGGAUAGAGGGAGCUUUCGCCUGGAGUCAGCGGCGGGCGGGGGAGUAAUGCCUAGGAAUCUGCCGGGUAGGGGGGUGUAACAUCCGGAAGCGGGCGCUGAUACCGCAGACUUCGUGAUUGAGCAGGUUGGGGAGCGUCGGACAUCACGCUAUGAGCUGAACCUAGGUCGGAUUAGAUAGUUGGUUGGGUAAGGGCCUGCCAAGGCGACGAUCCGUAGAUGGUCUGAGAGGAUGAUCAGUCACACUGGAAGUGAGACACGGUCCAGACUCCUAAGGGAGGCAGCAGUCGGGAAUAUUGGACAAUGGGCGAAAGUCUGAUACAGCCAUGCGGAGCGUGUGAAGAAGGCCUUCGGAUCGUAAAGCACUUUUAGUUGGGAUGAACCGCAGUAACCUAAUACCUUGCUUUUUUGACGUUACCAACAGAAUAAGCACCGGCUAACUACGUG